ACUGCAGUCCUCACAAGAGCUAUUGCAAAGUGCAAACACCUGUGUGUAGUGUAGGCGCUUUAAGUUUUCAUUUGUUACAGAGUGUCUAAUAUAACUAAUAUAGGCGUUGGCUCGCCUGAAUGUAUCAGGGCUGUUUGACCAGGGACCAUAAAGAAUAUUAACGCCGUCAAGAGGCCAGUUCUCCCCUUAACAGGUGAGUGGUAAGCCUCAAAUGCUCUAUUUUUUUCUUGUCCUCCCACGUGCUGCUCAUACAGUGUUUCAUCCUCUUGUUAAGUGUACCAUAUGGCCACACAGCAGGCAGCCCUGGGUACAAGAAGGACGUGAGAGAAAAAACCUGAAUCACAACUCACUGCUGCUUUGAAAAGAGCAAAGUCAUACCAGAGAGAAGCUGUCCGACGACGGACAGACAGACAGACAGACUGGGCAUUAAGGAGCAAAACACGUUGGAAUCCAAGGAAACCAUAGAGUCCUGCAGUCAACCUCCGCUAUUUGAAAGGUUUCCAGUUUUUGUUUUGUGUGAUUUCUUUUUUGUGGCUUUAUUUUCAUUGAGGAUUACAGACUCUGCCGAAACCAGGAAGACGAGGAGCCUGCAGAACAGAGGGUCACUGUGAAGAGGGCGAGAGGAACUGAAGAACCUCACUUAGCCGGUCCCCCCCUGCGAGGAAAUCAAAGCUGUCCAAGGUGAUAAUGCGGGAUCACACGUCUGGUGCUAAUGUGGAGGAGCUGCUGAGGCAGUCUCGGAUGGAGUUGCAGUGGAUCCAGAGACAGCUGGCCUUGAUCGCUGCCAGAAACAUGCACCAUCAUCACCUGCACAGCAAG